UCGCCUCUUGAUUGAACCAUAAGAGGUCCAGCCUGCCCAGUGACAUUGUUCAACGGCCGCGGUAUCCUAACCGUGCGAAGGUAGCGUAAUCACUUGUCCUUUAAAUGAAGACUAGUAUGAAUGGCCCCACGAAAGCUAUACUGUCUCCUUUUUCUAAUCAGUUAAACUAAUCUCCCCGUGAAGAAGCGGGGAUAAACAUAUAAGACGAGAAGACCCUAUGGAGCUUUAAACAACUGAAACACUUGUAUACCUCCCUCCACCUACCCACAUCUAACUCCACAUCUUGUUUCUAGUUUUAGGUUGGGGUGACCACGGAGAAAAAACUAACCUCCACGAUGAAAGAGACAUCUCUAAACAAAAAGACACAUCUUUAUGUAUUAAUACAUUAACCUUUAUUGACCCAAUAAAUUGAUCAACGAACCAA
rnacentral:rRNA from 1 species